rnacentral:rRNA from 1 species
GAACCUUCGGGGGACGAUAACGGCGUCGAGCGGCGGACGGGUGAGUAAUGCCUAGGAAAUUGCCCUGAUGUGGGGGAUAACCAUUGGAAACGAUGGCUAAUACCGCAUGAUGCCUACGGGCCAAAGAGGGGGACCUUCGGGCCUCUCGCGUCAGGAUAUGCCUAGGUGGGAUUAGCUAGUUGGUGAGGUAAGGGCUCACCAAGGCGACGAUCCCUAGCUGGUCUGAGAGGAUGAUCAGCCACACUGGAACUGAGACACGGUCCAGACUCCUACGGGAGGCAGCAGUGGGGAAUAUUGCACAAUGGGCGCAAGCCUGAUGCAGCCAUGCCGCGUGUGUGAAGAAGGCCUUCGGGUUGUAAAGCACUUUCAGUCGUGAGGAAGG